CUCUCUCUCUCUCUCUCAGGUGUCCGUUUGCACUAACGAACUUGAACUGCUUAUGCCCGUUGUCUACGCCGUCGCCAUGGCUACUUCGACAUCGGGUAUCUUAGCACGAGGGAAACUCGGUCAAAAGUCAAAAGGAGUCUGCCUCAUGUUGCGUUGUGGGACUUCGCUGACUGAUGCAUGGGAUGAUGGGCAGUUUCAACUUUGUUCAAACUUUCAUACCGUCACCCAGCACAUUGGAGCCGGGAAGGGAAGUCGUUCUUGUAUACCUACUGCCCUCCAACAAGCUACUGACAGUCACAUCAAAAUGCUUGCUUCCUCCAUCCCUAUGCAAGAAACCGUGAACGAUGGCCCAAGGAAAUCAAGACAGCAGCCGCUGAUUGCUUCGUAAAGGGAGGCAGCUUUUUCCAGAGUAAAAUACAAGUCUCGCCAAGGCAAACAUGAAUGAGAAGCAUAGGUUCCUCCAUUGCAUACGGUUCUUGCUGCUGCUUGCUACUGUGGCUCAAAGCGACAAGAGUGUCACCAGAUGCGCUGAAACGGGGGGCUUCUGUGUUCCCAAGGAUUUAUGCAACGCUGGAUCUGAAUCCCUUUGUGAUGAAGAAAAUGAAGUCUGCUGUCCGUAUGAUCCUCUCUCUAAGACAAAGCGCUC